CUCGGCACAGAAACUUGGAAGGGCUCUGGGGAAAGGGAGGCUGGGGGGCCGUCCCGGUCCUGCCACCUGUCGUUUGUUUCAUAGGAGCAGAGGGGCCUCGUUUCAAAAAGGACACAUCGGGCCAUCGGCCUCAACAUUUGGGCCGGAACAGCGGUGCUGGAAGAGGCCUUCGGAAACGACUGCUUUCCAGGUCUCCAUCAGAGGACACCUUGCUGUCCCUCCUGCCCUUGACAGUCUGCAGCGAGAGGUGUGCGGGGAGUCCUGCGGCACGUCUUUUCCAGAGUCCCCACCGCCGGCCCAGGGAGCACCCCCCGCCCCCCGACGCCUGCAGGGCCCACCUCCUGGCUGCUGCUGCCCUGUUGGGGGGCUCUUCUGCCUCCUUCCCAGGCUAGCCGGCCCGGUUCCGGGAGGGGGGACGUCAGUCCUCACUGCCCUUGUCCUGUUCUCCGGGCCGCCCAGCGAGGCCUGCUCCCUGCCGGGAUGCGCUCAAGUCCACUCUGGCUGCCAGCCUGCUGCCCAGCCUGGCAAGGGGCGGGUUCAGCAGCCUCGCCUUCUCUGGCCGCUGCCCGCGCGCAAAGUCGUGGGUGGGGGGAAGUAGCAGCACAAUCAAACCCAUGAGCUUGUCCCCUUCGGGACUAUAAAAUCUUUUUAAUCAAGAGAUAAUUUGGUAUCUAGUAAACUACAGAGUACUCCAAUCAAAGUACAUCCAGUGCUUUGAAAUCCUUAAUUCUCCGCCAACGUGUUCAAGAGCCAGUCCGCAUCCACGGUUUUAUGAACCAUUCAGCUCACUCAUGUCGAACAGAUCAUCAGCAUUUUCUUACAAAACAUCUUGGUGAACUGAAUUGAGAUAAUUUUUGAACAUUUAUUUAUAGAGCUACGAGGAAUCCUGAUAUCCUAACAUGCGAACACCCUGCCUUGGGAUCUUCUAGAUCUCAUUCAAUCCUCCCAACAACAAUCCUCAACAACAAGAUGGAUUCCAUCGUCCUUAUCUUCCUUUUAUUUGAAAAUGAGACCUAGAGCGUUUAGCAACCCGGAGUUGCAAGGCCGGCAAGUGGCAGAGCCUGACCUAGAAAGCACGAGGAGCUGGUUCCAAGGCCGAUGUGCUGGCUUCUUUGCUAAGCUGCCUCAGUUUCCACACUUUUAAGAAGGAUGAUAUUGGACUCAUUGGGUUGACGUGGGGACUAGGCGCAAGCAUUCAUCUGCAUGCUUAGCGCAGUAUCCCUUAUCAAAAGUUAUAGUCAUCGGGGCGCCCGGGUGGCUCAGUGGUUGAGAGUCCGCCUUCGGCUCAGGGUGUGACCCUGGGGUCCCGGGAUCGAGUCCCACAUCAGGCUCCCCGCAGGGAGCCUGCUUCUCCCUUGGCUUGUGUCUCUGCCUCUCUGUGUGUCUGUAAUGAAUAAAUAAAAUCUUUUUUUUAAGAAGUUACA
rnacentral:lncRNA from 1 species